rnacentral:rRNA from 1 species
UACGAAGGGGGCUAGCGUUGCUCGGAAUCACUGGGCGUAAAGCGCACGUAGGCGGCUUGUUAAGUCAGGGGUGAAAUCCUGGAGCUCAACUCCAGAACUGCCUUUGAUACUGAGGAUCUUGAGUUCGGGAGAGGUGAGUGGAACUGCGAGUGUAGAGGUGAAAUUCGUAGAUAUUCGCAAGAACACCAGUGGCGAAGGCGGCUCACUGGCCCGAUACUGACGCUGAGGC